AGCUUGCUCCCUGAUGUUAGCGGCGGACGGGUGAGUAACACGUGGGUAACCUGCCUGUAAAACUGGGAUAACUCCGGGAAACCGGGGCUAAUACCGGAUGGUUGUUUGAACCGCAUGGUUCAAACAUAAAAGGUGGCUUCGGCUACCACUUACAGAUGGACCCGCGGCGCAUUAGCUAGUUGGUGAGGUAACGGCUCACCAAGGCAACGAUGCGUACCCAACCUGAGAGGGUGAUCGGCCACACUGGGACUGAGACACGGCCCAGACUCCUACGGGAGGCAGCAGUAGGGAAUCUUCCGCAAUGGACGAAAGUCUGACGGAGCAACGCCGCGUGAGUGAUGAAGGUUUUCGGAUCGUAAAGCUCUGUUGUUAGGGAAGAACAAGUAC
rnacentral:rRNA from 1 species